CAGUGGGCCAGCAAGAACAAUACAUAGCUCAAUAGCAGCUAAAUGGACUUUCAUAAUCAUCAAAUUAAGUAUUUACAGUUGGGCUUAUCCCUCUAUGAUAGGUCAAAAAUGUCUCAUUCAGAAGAGGUCUUUGUAAAACCGCAGAGGCACACAGCGUUGCUCUCUGGUUGUUCCCAAACUUGACUCUGUCUUUAGAUGAUGCCACAAAAGCAAAGCUACUCCACAGAAAAAAGGAACACUAAUUUUCAUUGAGCCGUUUAGAAAACAAAACAUACUGAAUAAGUAAUGUUAAUGAAGAUCAGUGCAUCUCAAGGGUAGGUAAUGGUGUAGAUUUCUAGACUAAAGCGCUAUAAGAUAAUUGUACCAAUUCUUGGCCCAAGUUUCCCCUCUGACAAAAGUCGGUAAAGGCCCAAUCAUGAGACGUUCUUAAGAUUAUCUUUGUUAUUCUUUCUGUAUGUGUGGUAAGAGUUGUUUUUCCCCCCCUGCAGUCUCUGCAGAAGUUGAUCAAAGCCUCCUGGACUGGAAAUAGUAAAAUCCGAAAGAUGGCUGAGCAUGGAUGCUGUCCAUUUUCACAGGGAACAACCUGAAAGCUAACCAGGAAUCAUUGCGAAACAAAUGCAACCAUGGCAAUGACAGUAGAUGUUAAGCAUAAACAUAAAAUAUGGAACCCAUUUGUUGAUACAUGAUGUGUUAAGACAUCGAGUUCUGUAAAACAUACCACAACCAAAAGGACGAGGGAAGUCUGAAUCAAGAUCCACACACACAGGAUUUGCAGCCUGGGCAUCUGGACGACAUCAGCCAACUGAGAAGACGAUGAAGGAAGAACUAAAAGGAAUUGGACAACGUUCACUACAUAUAUUACUUUAAAAUCAGAUUGAUUUUUUUUCACAAUUUUUGAGCAAAGCACAACAUAUUUUGGGAGCCUGAGUGAUGUUAAACAUGGGUACAAGGUCCUUGUUGAGGAUGGUUGUCCGAGGCCCAUGGCUCCAGACAUCUAGCACCAAGUAUCCGAGGUAUUUGAGUGACACAGCUCCACCACCCUCAAGGAUGACCUGACUCUUCCAAAGUCAACCGUUGAUUAUCUUCUACCCCUGAUCGAUCCUAUCCAACCAGGUAAGUUUAAACAUGAUGGAUGUAAACAUCAAGUUCUGAUAUUUUAGAUCAUAGCCACCCGUUCCAGGUAGACACAUUCCCUUGCUCACCCCUCAUGUCAGUGAAGCAACGGUGGCCUUUGAGGACAAGAAGCUCCUGUGCUGUAUAAGAAGUAAAAUCCUCUAUUUGUCAAGUGUUACCAUCAAAAUAUCUUAAGAUACAAACUCUGAUCGACAUCUUUGUCCCUCUGAAUUAUGGGUAUUCCAUACAGUUUGUCCAUUCUGUGCACCCAUAGAACACAGUGGUCAAAGAUGGCAGCCAAAUCUUUGUAAUAUCUAUAUUUUUUGGAGUUUAGACACUCAUAUCAACAUACUUACAAAUGCAAUAUUCCAUUUCUAUUAAUUCUGUUCUGCUUAAUGUCCCUAUAAACUGCGUACUGCACCUUUAAUGGUUUUAUAAACCUUUAUAUGUCCAUUAAAAUUGACCUUCUCCAUCCCGAAGAUAUGGGGCUAUUUAAGAGUUAUGUAUUGCAGUAUCCUAUUAUAUUCUACUUUAUGUUCUUUUAUUGCAUUGUGUUCAAAUAUAUACAGAGGUAUUUUAUGAUGUACCAUUAGAUAGCUCCGUUUUUUUACACUCAGUAAUCAUUCAGAGAAACCUUUUCAGUCUGCAGGUGGAGUGUAUCCCUGACAUCUCUGGCUUGCAUGAUGCAUUUCUCACCACUCUAUCACGUUUUGCUCUCAUUUCAGAGGCGCGCUUUCACCUGCCAGCCUUGGAAAUGGAGAGGAAGCCGAGAUGCUGUGUAAAUUACAGAAAAUAAGUGAGUAGUGAAAAAAGAGGAUGCACAUUACCGGCGAGGCUAGCUGCCUGACUGAACGUGGAAAGAAACAAGAACAGGAUCAUGUGAUUAUCUAAUCAGACCCGCAGUUUUCAUAAUGAAUAUCAACACAUGGGAAUUAGUGCUCUGCCACUCAGACGCUUAUUACAAAGCAUAAAAAAUCACCCUGAUUUAAUUUCUUUAUAUUUGCGCCUCAUGCUCUCUUUACUCCUGACAUUAAUUAUCAGUUGAUUGAUUUGUCAUACGGUGCAAACGUCUCAUUUAAUGGCAAACUGAUGGAUGUCUCUCCAUAAAAAGACAUGGCGCUCACAGCUGUUUAAAAGUCAAGAGUCUGCUAAUGAGCCUUUACAAAGAAGAGCACACGCCUGCCUUCAUUCGGUUGAUUUUUUUACCCCUGGACAAUUUGUGUUUUGAAAUAUAAUAGCAGCUUUACAGAUAAUACAUCUUUGUUGGUAAAAGGCAGACAUUAAAAGCCAAGGGCACCCCUAUUGUUCAGAUCUACAGAGCUGAUCUGCAGCGCUUUAAUGCCGCAAAUCAACAUUUUGUACCUCACCCUGAACAUACAAGAGAAACUGGAUGCAUUUAAAUACUCAAACAAGCUCACUGAUCCAAUUCCGUUAAGUAGAAAAACCAAACACCUGCAGCAGUCUUUUCUCAGAGCGCCCCAAAGCUCAGCGGUAUUUAAAAUCCAGCGCACCUCUGAUCGACACGCAUGAUGCAUUUUCCCACCCUCUUUGAAC
rnacentral:lncRNA from 1 species